GGAAGUAUAGCCAAGCGGCAACGGCGCCAGACUGUAAAUCUGGUCUCUUCGGAGUUCGUAGGUUCGAGUCCUUCUGCUUCCA
rnacentral:tRNA from 1 species